ACAGAAUGGAGCCACUGGGGCCCAACCUCUGCUUCUCUGAGAGUUCUCAUGUGCAGGAAAGUGAUUGCAAUGCAAAACAAGGUUCUUUGUGGGCCAGGUCAUUAAAGGCUGAGAUGGAACCAGUGCGAGAUGUAACCAGUGUGCCUCCUUCCUACCUCCUUCCCCUUUAAGAGCCAUAUCAGCGUAUGAUUUUCACCACUGGGCCUCUGUGAUCAGCUUUCCACUGCAUUUGGUUUGUGGCUCCAGGGAAAAGAAUGUGAAGAUGCAGAAGGAAGCUGUGUUGUGAUAUUUAAAUAUAUAGCAGAGUGAGCAAAUACUAGGUUCAGGCACUCUCAGGCUUGGGAGACAUCUGAUUUUCAGCUUUUGGCUUUCAGCUCUGUGGCUUGCAAUCACCUCUGCAAACAGCGUGGCAUCCGAAAACCUCUUAUUUAGUGCUCUUCCAAGAUGAAAGCUUCAGGCCCGUUGUCAACAGGAGGCGUUUCUUCCCCUGAGUUGAAUAAAGGAAGCAAUUUUUAG
rnacentral:lncRNA from 7 species